rnacentral:rRNA from 1 species
AGAGUUUGAUCAUGGCUCAGAUUGAACGCUGGCGGCAUGCCUUACACAUGCAAGUCGAACGGCAGCACGGGUGCUUGCACCUGGUGGCGAGUGGCGAACGGGUGAGUAAUAUAUCGGAACGUACCUUAUAGUGGGGGAUAACGCAGCGAAAGUUGCGCUAAUACCGCAUACGCCCUUAGGGGGAAAGCGGGGGAUCGUAAGACCUCGCGCUAUUAGAGCGGCCGAUAUCUGAUUAGCUAGUUGGUGAGGUAAAGGCUCACCAAGGCGACGAUCAGUAGCUGGUCUGAGAGGACGAUCAGCCACACUGGGACUGAGACACGGCCCAGACUCCUACGGGAGGCAGCAGUGGGGAAUUUUGGACAAUGGGGGCAACCCUGAUCCAGCAAUGCCGCGUGCAGGACGAAGGCCUUCGGGUUGUAAACUGCUUUUGUACAGAACGAAAAGCCUUGGGUUAAUACCCUGAGGUCAUGACGGUACUGUAAGAAUAAGCACCGGCUAACUACGUGCCAGCAGCCGCGGUAAU